AAAUCCGCGCAGGGUGAGCCGGCCCCUAAGGCGAGGACGAAAGUCGUAGUCGAUGGGAACCUGGUUAAUAUUCCAGGGCCUGCUGAGCGUGACGAAUGCCGAUAGUUGUUAGGCCUUACUGGAUUGGUCCUAGCAGCGUAGGUGUUCCAGGAAAUAACCUCAGCUUAUAGACCGUACCCGAAACCGACACAGGUGGACUGGUAGAGAAUACCAAGGCGCUUGAGAGAACGAUCUUGAAGGAACUAGGCAAAUUGCUCUCGUAACUUCGGAAGAAGAGAGACCUCGUAGUGGGCAACCAUUACGGGGUGGCACAGACUAGGGGGUAGCGACUGUUUACUAAAAACACAGGGCUCUGCGAACUCGCAAGAGGACGUAUAGGGUCUGACGCCUGCCCGGUGCUGGAAGGUUAAGGAGAGGGGUGCAAGCUCUGAACCGAAGCCCCAGUAAACGGCGGCCGUAACUAUAACGGUCCUAAGGUAGCGAAAUUCCUUGUCGGGUAAGUUCCGACCUGCACGAAGGCGUAACGACUUCCCCACUGUCUCCAAGAUCGACUCAGCGAAAUUGAACUCUCCGUGAAGAUGCGGAGUACCCGUGGCUAGACGGAAAGACCCCGUGCACCUUUACUACAGCUUUGCAGUGGCAUUAGAGGAUGGAUGUGUAGGAUAGGCGGGAGCCUUUGAAGCGCAGGCGCUAGCUUGUGUGGAGGCACCCUUGAAAUACCGCCCUUCUGUUCUUUGAUGUCUAACCACGACCCGUUAUCCGGGUCUGGGACCCUGCAUGGCGGGUAGUUUGACUGGGGCGGUCGCCUCCCAAAGAGUAACGGAGGCGCGCGAUGGUAGGCUCAAGCUGGUCGGAAAUCAGCUGUUGAGUGUAAUGGCACAAGCCUGCCUGACUGCGAGAGCGACAGUUCGAGCAGAGACGAAAGUCGGUCAUAGUGAUCCGGUGGUCCCGCGUGGAAGGGCCAUCGCUCAACGAAUAAAAGGUACGCCGGGGAUAACAGGCUGAUGACCCCCAAGAGUCCAUAUCGACGGGGUCGUUUGGCACCUCGAUGUCGGCUCAUCACAUCCUGGGGCUGGAGCAGGUCCCAAGGGUAUGGCUGUUCGCCAUUUAAAGUGGUACGUGAGCUGGGUUUAGAACGUCGUGAGACAGUUCGGUCCCUAUCUACCAUGGGUGUUGGAGAAUUGAGAGGAGCUGUCCCUAGUACGAGAGGACCGGGAUGGACGUACCUCUGGUGUACCGAUUGUAGCGCCAGCUGCAUCGUCGGGUAGCUAAGUACGGACGGGAUAACCGCUGAAAGCAUCUAAGCGGGAAGCCUCCCUCAAAACAAGUUCUCCCUUGAGAGCCGUGGAAGACCACCACGUUGAUAGGCCAGGUGUGGAAGCGCGGUAACGCGUGGAGCUAACUGGUACUAAUCGCUC
rnacentral:rRNA from 1 species